UACGGAGAGUGCAAACGUUGUUCGGAUUCACUGGGCGUAAAGGGCACGUAGGCGGCUCGGCAAAUCGGUCGUGGAAUCUCGACGCUUACCGUCGAAACGGCGGCCGAAAAUACCGGGCUCGAGGGCGUGAGGGGUCACUGGAACUCCUGGUGAAGCGGUGAAAUGCGUAGAUAUCAGGAGGAACGCCGGAGGCGAAAGCGAGUGACUGGCGCGUUCCUGACGCUGAGGUGCGAAAGCUAGAGGAGCAAACAGG
rnacentral:rRNA from 1 species